UUUUGCCUACGGGGGGCAGCAGUGGGGGAUAUUGCACAAUGGGGGGAACCCUGAUGCAGCGACGCCGCGUGGGCGAUGGAGUACUUCGGUAUGUAAAGCCCUAUCAGCAGGGAAGAAAAUGACGGUACCUGACUAAGAAGCCCCGGCUAACUACGUGCCAGCAGCCGCGGUAAUACGUAGGGGGCAAGCGUUAUCCGGAUUUACUGGGUGUAAAGGGAGCGUAGACGGUGAUGCAAGUCAGAAGUGAAAGCCCGCGGCUCAACUGCGGGACUGCUUUUGAAACUGUAUGACUGGAGUGCAGGCGG
rnacentral:rRNA from 1 species